rnacentral:rRNA from 1 species
CCCUUAGAUGUUCUGGGCCGCACGCGCGCUACACUGACGAAAGCAACGAGCUUAUAACCUUGGCCGAAAGGUCUGGGUAAUCUCCAAACUUCGUCGUGAUGGGGAUAGAUUAUUGCAAUUAUUAAUCUUCAACGAGGAAUGCCUAGUAAGCGCAAGUCAUCAGCUUGCGUUGAUUACGUCCCUGCCCUUUGUACACACCGCCCGUCGCACCUACCGAUUGAAUGGUCCGGUGAAGCCUCCGGAUUGGCGCGCACCUCGGUGCCGCCGAGAAGUUGGCUAAACCUUACCAUUUAGAGGAAGGUGAAGUCGUAACA